rfam:Physcomitrella patens subsp. patens PHYPAscaffold_100 genomic scaffold, whole genome shotgun sequence.
UGCUGUGAUGAUUAUGCAAAUUUUCUGACACCUCUUGUAUGAGAGCUCUGGCCGUGCUCGCCGAACGGGGAUGCGUCUUUCUGAGCA